rnacentral:rRNA from 1 species
UACAGAGGUCUCAAGCGUUGUUCGGAUUCAUUGGGCGUAAAGGGUGCGUAGGCGGCGCGGUAAGUCGGGUGUGAAAUCUCGGGGCUUAACUCCGAAACUGCAUUUGAUACUGUGGUGCUUGAGGACUGGAGAGGAGACUGGAAUUCACGGUGUAGCAGUGAAAUGCGUAGAUAUCGUGAGGAAGACCAGUGGCGAAGGCGGGUCUCUGGACAGUUCCUGACACUGAGGCACGAAGGCCAGGGGGAGCAAAACCGGG